ensembl:lncRNA
GUUAUCUAAAGUAUUGCUAGUUAGUGUACAUUACAUAGAAAUUGAGUAAAAUCAAUGUUUAUUGCUAUAAGGAGUCAAGAGACAAGUGACAUAACGAGCCACAAUGUAUACAUGGUAGAAAAAAUAACUUAUCAUGUGCCUUAUUUUUUCUUCCAUGAUGUUAGCUAUACAUAUUCAUACCAAUUUAUACUACAUGCUUAAAACACAGCAAUGUCAGGAGGCCGUAUUAAAUAUUUUCUCUCAGUCCUGUGUUUCACCUCAGCUUUGAGUAUUUGUGUUUGAGCCAGUGUUGCUGGGUUGUUAUGCUGUCACAGUCCAGUGUCAAAAUUCAACCAAUGAUUUCUGAUGUUGUGUUACCUACACAAACCAUGUGUGUAUAUAAUGUAAAAUAACUGAUCUCCAUUCAUAGAUGUAGAAAAAACAGCAGUUUGUAUAGUGUAUAUUGUGCAACUGUGACUUUAUAUUAGAUUACUGCUUACUGUAAAUAUCUCAGUCGUUAAACACUACUACUACUACUACUACUACUACUACUACUACUACUAAUAAUAAUAAUAAUAAUAAUAAUAAUCCUACUGUUCUCACACUGAAUUUCUCUCAUUUUGCAGGUUUUCUGGAGGAAAACGUACAUGCAUGGUGUUACUGCUAGGUAGAAAAAUAUAUAGUAUGAAUUCAAAAUUUCCUAAGCCUAUACAAUCCGUUUCAAACAAUUUACAUUUUAAAAUGUCCAAAUAUAUUUUUUGGAAAAAAAUUCAAAAUAAAAAGUCUAUAUCACACGGUUCUAACAUUCUUCAUUCAGGUAAUAGCUCACAUCCACCUUGGUGUACGAGUGAAAAUAUUAAGAUCUGUUUAAAUAAACUAAAAUCUACGAAAGGCCCUGUAAUUUACGAAAGUGGAGAAAUUCUAAAAUAUGAUCCCAGCAUGAGGCCGGUGAUUAGAAAAGAAAUACCAUGCGAAAUUAUUAUUACCGCCGGAAAAAAAAUUAGAAGAAAAGAACUUGGCUGUUAUUACAGUUCUGGUCAUGUCCUGACUGCGUUUCAUGUUGUUGAAGGUUUAGAAAAUUUUGACAUACUCGUUGCUUUCCAUAAUGGAAAACGUACGCUGAUUUAUAAGGCUAAAUUUCCAAAAUCUUAUAACACUGACUCACACAGAGAUCAGACAUGUAUUAAAUUACUUGGUGACACUAACCCGCUUGGUGAUGGUUUACAAAAUCAAGUUGGUAAAGCCAAUAAAUCCAAAAGUGUAUAUUUUUACAUACAAACUCCUGACGGAAAGUUUAAGAAGCAGGAGGGUGAAAUCGUGCAGGACGGUAAUAUCGUUAAAGAAAGACGCUAUGAAUUUAGAAUAUCUGUAGCUGGUAAACAUGGAGACAGUGGCUCACUUGUUUAUAAAGCUGAGGGUGAACCGUUUGGCAUAUAUAGAGGCGUACGUAAGGACAAUGGAUAUGGUGUCUGUUCUAGAAUUUCUCCACAUUUUAAACCUGUUAACAUGUAACUGAUGUUACAGAUUUAUUUAAUAGUUCUAAAAAAAAUAAUAUUUUAUUUAUAUUUAAAAAAACUUAUUUUUUUAAAAACCUAACAAGAAACUGAUAUUACGGAAUUAUUUAAAAGGUUUAUAACAAUAUUUUAUUUAUAUAAAAAAGUCUUAAUUUUUUAAAAGAAUAUAAUUUUUUGUUAUCAUAGCAAACUGUCUCUCACUUUUAUUCUAAGCCUGAGUAGAGUGUACGUGUGUGACGUGCGUGUACAUGCAACACAUGAGUCGAACUGAGCCACUGGGGCCAAGCCUCUGGAUUUCCCGUUUCAUUUUUGUUUUCUGCAGACUGAGGAAUUAAAGCUCAUGUAAAAGCGCAACCCAAGUCCGCUGAGUUUCACCUGCUGGCAGCGAGCAUUUACCACACUGAUGACAAAAACCUGGAGAUCAGUACACACCGAAAACCACAUGUACAUGGAGCCAAAUCCCCUGGCACAGAUCGUCCAGCCUCAAGCCAUCUUCUAGGAUGCAAGAGAAGCAGCAUCAGGCUCUCACGGGUCUGCAGCAACAGCAACAGGAAAUCCUCUUUAAACAUCAUGGAGGAGCAAGCGGCAGACCAACCCACCAUCCAGAGCCUGAUGGCACUAUCCCCUCUAUAAACACUCUCACUGGCCAUUAUGGCACCCCACGGUGGUGUCGGGGUGAACCUGGAGAUGUUCGAGAGCAAAGCCUCAGCAUGAGUCUGGCUGAGAGUGAGGUCUGCACAUUCAAGCCCUCCUGAACAGAGACUUGGUUGUUUUCCAGUGGCUCGCAGUGACUCAUGUGUCGUGCACACACACACACACACACACAACAGCACAAAAAUAAAUAAAUAAAAUAAAAUAAAAUAAAUAAUUUAAAAAACAAACACACAAAACAUUUUUUUAUUAAUAUAAUUAUUAUUAUUAUCUAGUAGAAAGGCAUGUGGUGUACGAUCCUCUGAAAACCACUUCCUCCAUUUUAGUUGUUGGGUCCCCAGGCUGAGGUGCACAAAAUAAGGCCAAGCCUGAUUAUUGUGUACGUGUGUGACGUGUGUGUACGUGCAACACAUGAGUCGAACUGAACCAAUGGGGCCAAGAUUCUGGUUUUUCUGAGAUCAGCGCACACCAAAAAAUCCUCCCUAAACAUCAUGGAGGAGCAAGUGGCAGACCAUCCCACCAUCCAGAGCCUGGUGGCAAGAUCCCCUCUAUAAACUCUCUCAUUGGCCAGAAUGACACCGCAGGGUGAUGUCGAGGUGUACCUGGAGAUGUUCGAGAGUACCACCUGGGCAUGAGGCUGGCUGAGUGAGGUCUGCACAUUCAAGACCUCCUGAACAGAGACCUGGCUGCUUUCCAGUGGCUCGCAUUGGCUCAUGCAUUGUGUGCACACACACACACACACACACACACACACACACACACACACACACACACACACACACACACACACACACACCACUCAGGCUCAGCUCACUAAGACAGAUGGGGACAGAAAGCUCGGAAAAAGCUGAGUUCUCCAUUAUUUAGAUUUGACCAUUUCUAAGCACAUAGGGCUAAUGGAAUUAUAAACACUAUGCCUGGAAAUCAUAAAAUACGUAAUGUUAAAGACAAGAAAAUGUUUUUAAAAAUUACAUAAAAAUCACCUUCCCAAAACCAGCACAAAAAAUUUAAUAUAAAAAAAUACCCAUAACAUUUAUUAUUAUUAUUAUUAUUAUUAUUAUUAUUAUUAUUAUUAUUAUUAUAUAGUAGGCAGGCAUGUAGUGUAUGAUCCUCUGGAAACCACUUCCUCCAUUUUAUCUGGCGGCUGCCCAGGGUGAGGUGCACAAAAUAAGACAGUAGAUACACUAAAGGAAAGAACAACUCACCCUUGCUGCACUGGAUAGAGGACACCUGGAUACUGUAGAUUUAUACCUACAAAAUGCUGCUGUAAUCAUCAUCGCUGCAGUCAUCACUUCACCUGUGUGCUGUAAUAAGUUAUAAUCACACUAUCCGGUGUCACCCACAAGAGGAUGGGUUCCCUACUGAGUCUGGUUCCUCUCAAGGUUUCCUCCUCAUGUCACCUCAGGGAGGUUUUCCUUGCCAUCGUUGCCUUAAAAGCUUGCUCACUAGGGAUCUAAAUCUACAUCCAGGUUUCUGUAACAAAAUAUCUACUGAACAAGAACAAUAAAAUGAAACGUUGAAAUGAACUGAACUGGUGUGAUGACUAUCUCAUG